AUUGAACGCUGGCGGAAUGCUUUACACAUGCAAGUCGAACGGCAGCACGGACUUCGGUCUGGUGGCGAGUGGCGAACGGGUGAGUAAUGUAUCGGAACGUGCCCAGUCGUGGGGGAUAACGUAGUGAAAAUUACGCUAAUACCGCAUACGAUCUAUGGAUGAAAGCGGGGGAUCGCAAGACCUCGCGCGAUUGGGGCGGCCGAUAUCAGAUUGGGUAGUUGGUGGGGUAAAGGCCCACCAAGCCAACGAUCUUGAGCUGGUCUGAGAGGACGACCAGCCACACUGGAACUGAGACACUGUCCAGACGCCGACGGGAGGCAGCAGUGGGGAAUUUUGGACAAUGGGCGAAAGCCUGAUCCAGCCAUUCCGCGUGCAGGAGGAAGGCCCUCGGGUUGUAAACUGCUUUUGUACAGAACGAAAAGGUUUCUACUAAUACUAGGAGCUCAUGACGGUACUGUAAGAAUAAGCACCGGCUAACUACGUGCCAGCCGCCGCUGUAA
rnacentral:rRNA from 1 species